GAAUCUUGCGCAAUGGGCGAAAGCCUGACGCAGCGACGCCGCGUGCGGGAUGAAGGCCUUCGGGUCGUAAACCGCUUUCAGCAGGGACGAAAUUGACGGUACCUGCAGAAGAAGGCCCGGCCAACUACGUUCCAGCAGCCGCGGUGAUACGUAGGGGUCUAGCGUUGUCCGGAAUCAUUGGGCGUAAAGAGCUCGUAGGCGGUUCGGCAAGUCGGAUGUGAAAUCUCCACGCUCAACGUGGAGGGGCCAUUCGAAACUGCCGUGACUCGAGUCCGGUAGGGGAGUGCGGAAUUCCCGGUGUAGCGGUGAAAUGCGCAGAUAUCGGGAGGAACACCAGUGGCGAAGGCGGCACUCUGGGCCGGAACUGACGCUGAGGAGCGAAAGCGUGGGGAGCGAACAGG
rnacentral:rRNA from 1 species